rnacentral:lncRNA from 1 species
AAUGAUCACCUCUUGACAGGUCCAGAUCUGACCAACACAUUAGUUGGAGUGCUGUGUCGAUUUAGAAAGGGUCCAAUAGCCAUAAUGUGUGACAUUGAAAGGAUGUUUCAUCAGUUUCAUGUUGCAAAGGAACAUCAAGACUAUCUGCGAUUUCUCUGGUGGGAUGAUGGCAAUCUAGAUUCCAAACUUUCAGUUUAUAGAAUGAAGGUACACCUUUUUGGGGCAGCUUCAUCCCCCGGCUGCUCCAACUUUGGACUCAAGUACCUAGCAUCGCAGGGUCAUGGAAAGUUUAGUGAAGAGGCCAUCAAAUUUAUCCAGAGAAGCUUUUAUGUAGAUGAUGGCUUAACAAGCGUGGAGUCAUCUGCCGAAGCAGUACAUCUUGUGAAGGAGGCAAGAGCCUUGUGUAAAACCGGAAACCUUAGACUCCACAAGUUUGUGUGCAAUGAUAAGGAAGUGAUUUCCACAGUACCACCUGAGGAAUGUGCUCAGACCAAAGAUCUCGAUAUGGCCUUGGGAGAGCUUCACAUCGAGCGAGCACUAGGAGUUCAGUGGUGCGUUGAAGCGGAUGAAUUCCAAUUCAGAGUUGUAGUCAAGAAAAAUCCACUCACAAGAAGAGGAGUUCUCUCAACGGUGGCCUCUGUCUUUGAUCCGCUAGGUUUCGUUGCACCUUUUCUAUUAGUUGGUAAGCAGAUUCUUCAGGAACUGUGUAAAGAUAAAGUAAGCUGGGAUGAAGAUCUCCCCAAGCACAUUCUACCACGGUGGGAGUCGUGGCUUCGUGACUUACCUCACUUGGCUGUCCUGAAGAUUCCAAGAAGCUAUCUACCAUUAAAUUUUGACGAGGUUGUUUCUUAUGAGCUUCACAACUUUGCUGAUGCCAGUUUCACCGGAUACGGAACAUGUUCAUAUCUCAGAGCAGUGAGUGAAACAGGGCAGAUCAGUUGCUCACUUGUCAUUGGGAAGGCUAGAGUAGCCCCUACAAAGCUUAUGACUAUACCAAGGCUUGAAUUAUCGGCAUCUGUGACUUCAGUCCGUAAUGGAGAUGUUGCCAAAAGGGAACUAGAGAUUGAACACUUGCAAGAGUAUUACUGGACUGACUCUAGAGUAGUCCUUGGCUAUGUGAACAACGAUGCCAAGAGAUUUCACACAUUCGUAGCCAACCGAAUACAACGCAUAAGGUCUAGUACGUGCCCUAAACAAUGGCGACAUGUUAAUUCCGAAAACAACCCGGCCGAUCAUGCCUCGAGAGGACUUAGUGCAGCUCAGCUGAAAGAUUCAAACUGGC